rnacentral:rRNA from 1 species
AUUGAACGCUGGCGGCAGGCCUAACACAUGCAAGUCGAACGAGUGGCGGACGGGUGAGUAAUGUCUGGGAAACUGCCUGAUGGAGGGGGAUAACUACUGGAAAAGGUAGCUAAUACCGCAUACCAUCGGAUGUGCCCAUCUUGGAGUAGCUAGUAUGUGGGGUAAUGGCUCACCUAGGCGACGAUCCCUAGCUGUUCUGAGAGGAUGAAACGCCACACGGGAACUGGUAAACGGUCCAGACGCCGACGGUAGGCAGCAUUGGGGAAUAUUGCACAAGGGGCGAAAGCCUGAUGCAGCCAUGCCGCGUGUAUGAAGAAGGCUUUCGGGUUGUAAAGUACGUUCAGCGGGGAGGCGUUACCCGCAGAAGAAGCACCGGCUAACUCCGUGCCAGCAGCCGCGGUAAUUC